rnacentral:rRNA from 1 species
GAUGAACGCUGGCGGCGUGCCUAAUACAUGCAAGUCGAGCGAACAGAUGAGGAGCUUGCGCCUCUGUCGUUAGCGGCGGACGGGUGAGUAACACGUGGAUAACCUCCCUAUAAGACUGGGAUAACUUCGGGAAACCGGAGCUAAUACCGGAGAAUAUCUUGCACCGCGUGGGGCGAUGGUGAAUGACGGUGUUGCGGUCACUUGUAGAUGCAUCCGGGCGGCAUUGGCUAGUUGGGAAGGUAAAGGCUUACCAAGGCAACCAUGCGUAGCCGACCUGACAGGGUGGUCGGCCACACGGGAGGUGAGCCAGGGUCCAGACUCCUACGGGAGGGACCAGUCGGGAAUCUUCGGCAAUGGGCGAGAGCAUGACGGAGCAAGGCGGCGUGAGUGAUGAAGGCCCUCGGAUCGUAAAGCCGUGUUAUUAGGGAAGAACCACUGUGUACGUAACCAUGGCCUUAGUGACGGUACCGGAUCAGAAAGCCACGGCUAACUACGUG